GGGGAGAGACGAGGGGGAGUGAAACGAAAGAACUCCUGGUUUCUACUGAGCCUGUGUGACGUUAUAAUCCACGUGCCACCUCCCUGGACUUUGAGGCCCCUGGAGCUACCACCUGUUCCCAAACCAGGGAUGCUUCAACAAGGGUGUCUCUCAUGCUACUUUAUGGAUUUCUUGCAAGCAAACUACAGAUGGCUUCAUAUCCUUCAGGUGGGAGCUAUCAAAAGGACAAGAUGGUUUCACUGAGGCAACACUAACAGCAAAACAAAUUGUCCUUCAUCAUUGGAAAGAUCAGACCACGCCAAGCGCA